UCAUGGCGACGCGGGGCCAUGUGCAGGACCCUAACGACAGGCGCCUCCGGCCCAUUUACGAUUAUCUUGAUAAUGGUAAUAAUAAAAUGGCAAUUCAGCAAGCAGAUAAAUUGUUGAAAAAACAUAAGGAUCUUCAUUGUGCUAAGGUUUUAAAGGCCAUUGGUUUACAGAGGACUGGAAAGCAAGAGGAAGCCUUCACCUUGGCCCAGGAGGUGGCGGCUCUUGAACCCACAGAUGAUAACUCACUUCAGGCACUGACCAUUCUUUACCGGGAGAUGCAUCGACGUACGUUUCUUCCUUCUCAUUGUUUUUAAACUUAUGCUUAAUUUUUUGGAUAUUUCUGAGUGAGUUCUCUAUUUGUCUGAUUUUACUUAUUACUCAUGAUUUAAUGGAUGGCAACAGGUAAAAUAAUGCAUUAACCAUGGCUUGCAAAGGCUAUAAGAUAGAAUGGAUAUUUUACAUAUAUUUGGAUCCUUGAAUUGGAAUGAAUACUUGAAUUUCAUUUAUGAUAUUUUGAUUUGCUAAAUGAAAGAGUUGCCUUUUUUCACUUUUUAAUAUGGAAAAUUUAAAACAGACAAAAACAGAGAAUAGUAUAAUAAAUCCCAUCAUACCCAUUACUCACCUUCAGCAGUUACUGACACAUGGUCAAUUUUAUCUGUACGUUUCUACCUAUUAGAUUAUUUCUUUCUUUUUUUUCUCUCUCUUCUUUGGAUGCCCUAUGUCACAUGGAGUUACCAGGCUAGGGGUCGAAUCAGAGCUGUGGCCGCCGGCCUGUGCCAGAGCCACAGCAACGCAAGAUCCGAGCCGCGUCUACAACCUACACCACAGCUCACGGCAACGCCAGAUCAUUAACCCAUUAAUCCCUGCAAGGGCAGGGAUUGAACCCGCAACCUCAUGGUUCCCAGUUGGAUUCGUUUACCACUGCGCCAUGACGGGAACUCCCAACGCUGGAUUCUUAACCCACUGUGUCAGGUUGGGAGUAGAACCUGUGUCCCAGUGCUGUAGAGACCAUUGUGCCAAUCCCAUUGCACCACAGCGGGAACUCUCAGAUUAUUUCUAAGCCUAUCCUAGAUGGUCUAUACUUUCAUCUGUAAAUAAAAUUUUUCACUGUCGAUCUCUUAAAUUUUUUUUAUGAAAUACAUAUUUUUAAUAGUGCAUAUUAUAGAAGAAUAUAUUUUAUGUAACACACUAGAAUAUUUGCUAUGGAAUAAAUAAACAUUCAUAAACCUACCACCCAACUUAAGAAACCGAGCAUAAUCAGUAUAGUCAUGUCUUGGAGGUAUCAUGGGUUUGGUUUAGGAAUGCCACAAUAAAGCAAAUAUCACAAUAAAGUAAGUCACACAAAUAUUUUGGUUUGCCAGUGCAUAUGGAAGUUAUGUUUAUACUAUACAUUUGUCUACUAAGUGUGCGAUAGCAUUAUGUCUUAAAAAAUCAAGGUACGUACCUUGAUUUAUAUAUAUAUAUAUAAUUUUUUUUUUUUUUUUUUUUUUUUUGUCUAUUUAGGGCUGUACCAACGGCAUAUGGAGGUUCCCAGGCUAGGGGUCCAAUUGGAGCUGUAGCCGCUGGCCUAUGCCAGAGCCACAGCAACACCGGAUCUGAGCCCUGUCUGCGACCUAUACAGUAGCUCAUGGCAACACCAGUUCCUUAACCCACUGAGUGAGGCCAGGGAUUGAACCCACAUCCUCAUGAAUACUCAUAGUCUGGUUUGUAACUCACUGAGCCACAAUAGGAACUCCCUCCACAGAUACUCUGAAUGGCAUCUAGAAUGGUGAAUUCUUUCCAAAAAGUUCUUAAUUUACUUUAUUCAGAUCCAUCAGAGGAAUC
rnacentral:lncRNA from 1 species